UUAUUACUCACCACUUGCAGAAGUGGGAGUCUUCUCGACUGAGAUAAAAAACAGCCGAACAUGCAACUGCCUUAUGGCAGCCGCUCAUUCGGCUGAAUAAUUGCUGAAUAGUUACUGUUUUUUUAACCGGUUACUGUAAUUCUAUCAGUCCAGUUUCUUUCCGGUCAACAUUUCAUAUCCCUGCAGAUAUUUUUCAAUCGUUUUGUCUACGAUCUCCUGCGGAAGUGUCCAGUCAUUGUCUGGAUUUUCUUUUAACCAGUCACGUGCAAACUGUUUAUCAAAAGACGGCUGUCCAUGUCCUGGUUCAUAUCCUUCGGCAGGCCAGAAACGUGAGCUGUCCGGUGUCAGCAUUUCAUCACCAAUUGUAAUAUUUCCGUUCUCAUCCAGUCCAAAUUCAAAUUUCGUAUCUGCGAUGAUAAUUCCUUUUUCCAGAGCAUAAGCUGCACAUUUCUUAUACAAUGUGAUCGUAUAAUCACGAAGUUUCUCUGCAUAUUCUUUUCCUUUUCCAGGAUAAUAUUUCUCCAGGUGCUCUACACUCUGUUCAAAAGAGAUGUUUUCAUCGUGAUCUCCAAUCUCAGCCUUUGUGGACGGUGUAUAGAUUGGUUCAGGCAGUUUAUCAGACUCUUUCAGACCUUCCGGAAGCUCAAUGCCACAUACCUUUCCUGUUUUUUUGUAGCUUUCCCAGCCGCUUCCUGUAAUAUAACCACGUACAAUACAUUCCAGUGGAAGCAUAUCAAGUUUACGGCACAUCAUGCUGUUUCCAUCAAACUGAUCCUGCUGAAAAUAUUCCGGCAUAUCUUUUACGUCUGUAGAUAUCAUAUGAUUUGGCAAAAUAUCUUCUGUCAUUUCAAACCAGAAUUUAGACAUCUGUGUAAGAACCGUUCCUUUUUUUGUAACUACGUUGUUCAAGAUUACAUCAAAACAACUGAUACGAUCUGUAGCUACCAUGAUCAGACUGUCACCAUUGUCAUAAAUCUCGCGUACUUUACCUUCUUUUAUCGGUUUCUUUCAUUGUCAAAAGGGAAACAGCCCAGACCUACAGCUAAGGUCCCAAAUGUAUGCUAAGUGGAAAACGAUGUGGAAUUGCGAAAACAACCAGGAUGUUGGCUUAGAAGCAGCCACACAUUAAAAGAGUGCGUAAUAGCUCACUGGUCGAGUGACUCUGCGCGGAAAAUGUAACGGGGCUAAGCAUGCAACCGAAGCUUAGGAUUGUCUAAAGACAGUGGUAGGGGAGCGUUCUGUAUGGGGUGAAGUCGCAGCGAGAGCAGCGGUGGACUGUACAGAAGUGAGAAUGCCGGAAUGAGUAGCGAGAAUUAUGUGGGAAUCAUAAUGGCCGAAAAUCUAAGGUUUCUUGGGGAAGGUUCGUCCGCCCAAGGUAAGCCGGGAGCUAAGGCGAGGCCGAAAGGCGUAGUCGAUGCACAUACGGUAGAAAUUCCGUAGCCACCGAACUUUAAGUCAGAGGGACACUUUUGGAUAGCGGAACCCGGGCGUUGGUUGACCCGGGCGAAAGGGAGCGAAAAUAUAGUAGCGAAGUCCGCGAUGCUGAGAGGCGAGAAAAGCUCUGAUGGAUACUAAGGUGCCCGUACCGCAAACCGACACAGGUAGAUGAGGAGAGAAUCCUAAGGCCAACGGGAGAAGGGUUGUUAAGGAACUCGGCAAGUUGACCCCGUAACUUCGGAAUAAGGGGAGCCUCGAAAGAGGCCGCAGUGAAAAGGCCCAAGCAACUGUUUACCAAAAACACAGGUCUAUGCUAAAUCGAAAGAUGACGUAUAUGGGCUGACGCCUGCCCGGUGCCGGAAGGUUAAGAGGAGAUGUCAGCGCAAGCGAAGCAUUGAAUUGAAGCCCCGGUAAACGGCGGCCGUAACUAUAACGGUCCUAAGGUAGCGAAAUUCCUUGUCAGGUAA
rnacentral:rRNA from 1 species